rnacentral:lncRNA from 1 species
CUGUCAUCAUAGGCUUGAUCAACUGUAAUAGACAUGAACCAACAUGACACCCUGGAGGAUGCAUGUGAUGUUGAAAUCAUACCCAUGCUCUGUUCUCACUCAUAAGUGGGAGCUGAACAAUGAGAACACAUGGACACGGGGAGGGGAACGUCACACACCGGGGCCUGUCGGGGGUUGGGGGCAAGGGGAGGGGGAGCAUUAGGACAAAUACCUAAUGUAUGUGGGGCUUAAAACCUGGAUGACGGGUUGAUGGGUGCAACAAACCACCAUCGCACAUGUAUACCUAUGUAACAAACCUGCACAUUCUGCACAUUAUCCCAGAGCUUAAGGCAUAAUAAAAAAAUAAUAAAAAAUC